GAUGCGAUGAUGCGAGGGUGCGAGUGGACCUACAUUUUUAAGUGGGUUCCGAACCACUACAUUGGUUGGUUAAAAAAAAAAAAAGAGUUGCCUCCUAAGCAUCACUGGGUGAAGCUUUCGACUAUGCUGUACCUCGCAAUUGCAUACCAGCAUUUGUUUUGUCUCAUUCAUCGGCUUGUUCUUUUUGUUGUUUUAAGUUUUUCAUACAUACUGUGAAUAGUUUAGCUGUGGUAUUUAUUUAUCCUCGCAUCCUCAUAUGAGAACACGAGUGAACAUUGGUUGGUUAAUGGUCACACUCGUCAGAAAAAUCUUUACCACACUUGUUGCGUAAUGUAUUAUUCCUUAUACCAAAUUCCUAAUCGAAAAAAUGUACCAGUUAACCGUUGAUUAGUGUGAGUGAUCGAACUACUGCGAAUGGUUGUGUGCGAUCGUAAAUAUGAGAAUAGGGUAUGGGUAAGCGAAAGAGACGAGACCGAAGAGGAGAGCCCCCCUUUGUAAACAUUCCAUGCAGUGUCGUACUAAUUGCGGCCGCGGAUGGUCGUAACCGCUCACUACCGAGCUUAAUUUCACAGUGGCGUAAAUUCUAGUGUCACAACGGGGCAACGAAUGGUGGACAACAUCGCCGAAGAAUGAGAGGGUCUUUACUGCAUUAUGGUUAACCACCGUGGUAUACGCCAUUGACAUCAAAGGACGUCUACUUAGAGGGUGGGGCCUUCGUCGGUCUGUACCAUGCCAACUAACCCGGCCAAACAUUAGUCUCCCCUCCUACCCCAGCCUUUACGAACGCUACAAGACGCUCGCUAAUUAGCCAAGAUUAAUGCCCGGCAAUUGGAGGAAAAUCCUGGGAAAGGAAACCGUGUUUUUCAUGAGCUUUACAUUACUAAGUGACUGUUGGAAAAUUAGAACACAGCUCUUCUGUUUAUCUUCACAAAUCACUCAGCAAGGUUCAUGAUGUGUUUGAAAGAGUCUCCAGAAAAGGACUAACUUAUCAUCUGUUGUGCUCCGAACUUGAGAGCAUUGUACUCCUUACCAGAUGUGGCAUUCAAAGGAAACCCUGUCCUCGGGAGUCAUAAACAUUUUCUUGUUUUUUCCCUUAGUAAAGGUUUUUCAUAUAGUAAGAAGUUAGUCUCUGGACACCGGUCCUGUAGGUCAGUCGUGCCUUCCUCGUGCCAGUGAUAAAGAGUUCUAGUUAAAGUAAUUGAUUGUGUGGCUGCAUUCAUUUAUAUACUUUUACCCAUAUCCCAAUAGUGACUACGAAAA